rnacentral:pre_miRNA from 17 species
GCUUGGGGUGACUCUGACUCCUGUUCUGUGUAUGGCACUGGUAGAAUUCACUGUGACAACACACAAUCAGUGAAUUACCAUAGGGCCAUAAACAGAGCAGAGAAAUAACCAAUAUGCCACAA